GCCCAGGUGGUGAAAUUGGUAGACACACCAUCUUGAGGGGGUGGCGGGGAGACUCGUGCUGGUUCGAGCCCAGUCCUGGGCACCA
rnacentral:tRNA from 5 species